CAAGGCGGGAGGGAGCGUGCGGGGGAGAGGUGUUUGCGUGCGCGUGUGUAAGUGUGAGAGUGACCGUGUCGGCGCAGGGAGGGGAGGGGCCUUGAACGGGGAGAGAAAAGGGAGGGAUCCGUGCACGGAGACAGAGACAGACGAUCAUGGACAGCAAACUACGCAGAUGUUAACGUAGGACCAAAGGCUGAGAGCUCAUCGAUGGACAAAUGGUUGCUGAAGAACCCUCAAUCUUUCUGCAUAUGUAAUGGGGACAGGAGUCACAGGAAGAAUGCACCUUCCCCCGUCACCGCUGUGGGGUGCUUCCGUUUCCUGGGCUCCAUCAUCACCCAGGACCUCCAGCGGGAGCUGAACAUCAGCUCCAUCACCAAGAAGGCUCAGCAGCCGAUGUUCUUCCUGAGGCAGCUGAAGAGGUUCAACCUGCUUAAGACAAGGAUGGUACACGGCCAUCAUUGAGUCUUUGCAGGAGGCUGCGGCCCAUCAGGACCAAGACCUCCUGCACAGAAACAGCUUCUUCCCGUCGUCAGUUGGUCUCAUAAACCGAGUCCGAGUCCCCCACGGACCCAGACAUUACAUCCCCAGGACAUUUGCACAGUGGUUUCUCACCAUGGAAACAGGUGUACAUACAUAUGUGUUUUAACGUCCUUAUCUUAUUUGUUUAUAUUGUUCAUUUUUAAUUUGACCUUAUUUUACUUUAUCUUACUUUAUUCUCAUAUUGCACCAAACACCAAAAUAAAUUCCUCUAUGUGUAACACACGUGGCAAUAAACGGCUUCUGAUUGUGAUCGAGCAGACCAGGCUUUUCAGCGUCCAACUGCAACGCCCGAAAAACAUGCUGACUGGCCUGAAAAGACACAACACUUUACCACCACUUCUGUUUCCUAGUCAUCAUUAUGUGUGUGUGUGUGUGUCUGAUGGAUGGGCUGCCCUAAUGUAUUCCACCGCAGUUUAAAUUCAUUACGCCACUUUUCCCAGCUGAUUGUGAUUGUGAAAGAGGGGGCACAGGGUGACUAACACACUGUCUCACCAUCCGUCCUCUUUGUCUCCUGUCUUCUCGAUUCUAAAGCGACCUCUCUUUUCGAAUCUGCAUCUCUCUCUGUGUCUUUUUGUCGGUCCCUCUCAUUAGCCCUUGAUGUCCAUCCUGCUGGACUACAGCAUCUCUCGUGGGGUCAACGAGAGACCACAACCUAAUAACUAAAGAGUGGGCAACCGUGAGGAUUUUGCCGACCCCUCCCCAGGCAGACACUUCAUACGCAUGCUCACUGCUCGUGGACACUCACACACCGCCCGUGUGAUUAGUCAGAAGCGGGGGAACCAAAGUGCACUCAACGUGGGUGAAGUGCGGAGAGCGGAGGAUGGGAGGGGAUUAACAAGGAAGAUCGCAAGAUCAACCAGUGCGAGUAGAGGGAAGGCCAGCGGGGCCGAGAUGAAAGCAGGAGAGUCCAAAUGGUUCAAACAAAAUCAUUUCCUGGUGAUUAGCAUUAGCACAUGCACGGAGCAAUGAGGUGAUAUGAUAAUCAGGGCUCAUCACAACUGUGCCCACAGUUCGUCUUACAGUGCUCCCUGUUCUUGAGUCUCAAUCAAUUUAUCCUGCUUCCUUUCUACUACUAGACUACUACUACUCUUUGUAGGAAUGUCUUCAUUUCUUGCAAACAAUUAGAACGGCAAUAAGGAAAUGAAGUCUGAUUAAACAAGAUUUAACAAGCUAACUGGUUAGCUUUACAGGUGCUGCUGCAUGAAUCUUGAUACCUCGGACAAGGCCAGGUUUCCUCAUUUCCAGUCUUUAUGCUAAGCUAUCUUCCAAAAAAGUAAAUAUAUUCCUUUAAUUUAAAGAUACUAAUACAAGCCCUUGAUUUGUGCACGAAUGUAAGUUUCCACUUCUUCUUUCAGAACGCCUUGUCUACGUUGGUCAAAAGCCUGUGCAUGGUUGAUUGUUCUUGACUUUUUUGAAAUGAAGAGUGAUGUGUUUGAAAUCUGGAUGUUUCAGUGUUUAUCUGAAUUUGGUGCUUAUUAUGACUUGCCACUUGAAGGAUUUUAUUGACAUUUCAGCAUAUUUUAGAAAUAUGUUUCAGUUUGUCAGGAAAUUCCACAUGCAGAGACUUGACAUUUGAUAAUUUAUCUCAAUGAGCAGUUUGUGGCCUUAGUCGUAACUGUUUAAAACGCUCACAGCAUUUUCCGAUCCGAGUCCUUUUACCAGCAUUUCACUGCAAAGUGUCCCUCUGCACAAAGUCACACAGGCAACUGGGCAGGUCCUUCUGCAAGAGUGAAGGUACAAAUGACCAGCUUACCUGUGGGACGCAUUCAACAUUCUCCAACUCUAAGUAGGAAGCAUCUGUCACAAUGUUAAAAUCUCACCCCUGACUCUCUGAAACUGAUAAGAUUUUAAAUGUAUUUAUAAUUUGAAUUAAUCUAGAUUUCAAUUUGUUGACAUUUUAUAAAUAUAUAAACAUCACACUUAUUUUUUUUUUGGGGGGGGGAGUCAAAAUGCAGUUUUAUGUUUUGUUUAAAUAGUACAUUCGCCUUUUCAUAUGAGGGGAGAUAUGAGGGAGAUACUAGGUGAAUUAUGUCUGAAAGGAUACAUGAUGAAUUGAAUUCUGUAGGCUGGAUUUCUUUUUGAACAUGUGACAGGGAUCAGACAAGAUGUUGUUUAAUAAAAAGGGAAGAAUCCUCCCAUGCUGCAAUGAAUAGAAACUGAUUCUUGCCUGGGGGGCUUUUCUGUGGAAAAUAAAAAUUUUUGUCGGAACAGUACGUUUCUAACGUAAAGCCUGGCGCAGGCUGCAAUAAUCUGAUUAAAUUGUUAUAUUUCCUUUCCCUACAUUAUCAUUUUGUAUUUUUGGACUGUUUUCAUCGGCGUCAAUCAGCGAAUUCAGUCACCUGCUACCCUCCGGCCACAAAGCAGAUCGCUGAUCGGACUGUUAUGUAAUGAUGACCCGGGGUUUAUUAAAUCGGAAUAGUUUGUCAAUUGAUCUUCUGCCCUGGAUCUUCUCAGUCAAUAAAAUACCCAACAGUCAUUCAAAAUUUAAAUAACUCCCUUGAUUAUUUGGGGCGACAUGCAGAGUAAGUGAUUAAGAACUCAUUAGAAGAAAUUGACAUUUAAACUAUUUUAGUAACAUGGUGAAUAAUAACAGUGUAUCUGCCUUUUAAGAAAUAACCCCUUGCAUAUUUUAGAAAACAACACACAGCAAAACGUGAUGAAUUACCGGCACUUCAAGCUUAAUAUGGCGACUCGGGGGAACUGUCUCUUCAUCAUAAACUUUCCCCUCGUGCUCUCGAAUGGCCCUCAGAGUUCAUGUUGAUGGUAAACUUUAUUACGUUUUUAAGUUUUCAGUUUAUUUAUUUAUUUUAUCAAUCAUGAUCUAUUUACUAUUUAGUGUCUCUUUCAAAUAGCAGUCACGAGGAUGUUGGCUUUAGACCAUCUUUACAUCAUCUCCCUUAGUUAAGUUUCGCUCACACGCACUUUGUCUGGAUUUGUUGACUGGAAAUAGCAAAACAUUUUACAAAUCAUGCUGCUCAGAGCCUGGGAACCAUCCGGCUGCCAGCCCCCCCGCUGCUCUGUGGAGCUUCCAUGCGUCAUAUCGAGGGGCUGGCAUGCAUCAAGCGAUAUUCAUAGUCCAACGCAAAUGAUAAAGACAAGUGAGACAAAAACAACUAAACUUAGGCAUGUUUGCAAAUUAUUCUCUAUUUUAGUUUUUCUCUAAACAUUGGACACCGCAAGAGGAUUGGCUUAAUUUACCUGCUUUAUAUCAUCCAUACGUAUGUUAUAAUGGUAAAGGAAACACUGAUCAGUUUUAUCCAAAGUAGUGAUGUUUGUCUAAACUCUGCUGAACUUGGAAAAGUUCAUUUUCCAAGUUACCAAGAACCAUUUUAUAAAUAGGGCGACCAGAGCAGUAAAUUGCUAAAAUUAGUCGUUUUGAAAUUAAAUGAGCUUUCAAUAUAGAUGUUCAAAUACACAAAAUAAACAUUGAGACAAAAAGGAGGCGCUACUGCAGCCUUACGAUUAGCACUUGGAACCCACAAAGUUUUCAUGUGCGUGACAUGGAGGGACAUUAUACCAAAAAAUAUCAAUAAAGCAUUAUUAAUACCUUCACAAAAAAGUCAUUAAAGGGGUUAAAAGGUUCCCUGUGUAGACCUGCCUGGCGUUCUUCAUCCCUCCAGAGUGGUAAUUGAGUCCAAGACUAAAUUAUCCAACAGUGCAACACUGUUUGUUUUGUAACUUGGCAUACAUUAACAUAAUGCCUGCCGAGCCUGCCACAAGUGUCCCAUCUCAGCCAGAUACGGUAUUCCCUUUCAAAACGUUUUAAGAGAAUUUGUUCAAAAUGGCUCAGUGGAGCAUUACAGCCACGUUUAGUGGGAUUGUUAUGCAUAAAUAUGCUUGAAUCACUUUGUGAGUGGGAUAUUGGCAGAUUUUCCAUUGUAAUGGCUUUUAAAACAACAUAGGUAUGUAGAUGCAGCUUAAAUGUUAACAAUUCACAAAAUUUUGAAAUGUCAUCUUCCAAAAACAACAAUGGCCACAGAACUUACAGCUCGUCUCAUGAAAUCAGUUUGCGACUCAAGCGAAAUUUGCAAAUUAAAUCAUGACCUGUGUAAUCUGGACAUUUUCGUUUUCAUGUAAUUGCUUGGCUGAGCAAAUUAAGAAGUGGGUUGCAUAAAGGACCAGACUUUAAAAUCAAUGUGCAUGAUUGAGUUUUCUUGUGAGGUUAAAUUGGUGUUUUGAACUUCAGCUUUUCUAACCGCAUUCAUAGAAAAGCUUUCAGAUAUAACAACACAUAAUGUCAUAGGUGGCUUCUACCUUGAAGCAAAGUGCAUAUACACAUUAAAUAAAAUAAAAAUAUGCUCUAAAACGGCUUUGUCUGUAUUUCGUAAGUUAUAUCGGAUUUAUAUUUAUUAUAAAAUUAUAUUAUAUUGUUUCGGCCAUGAGUCCCAUACGUACGCUGCACAUCAUGAUUAUAAGCAUGCACGAUACUAAUUAAAAACACCAGGCUAGCUUGUAUAGGCGUGUAAGAAAAUGUAAGUGUGCAUGAGCAAGAAUCUUUGAUGAUUAUUGAGUGUAUGAGGAGAUCCCUGGCUGUGGUACAUUCAAUAACUGAAAAAGAAAGAAGGGAUCUGGGAUUAGAAGCAGCUGUCGGAUGAUUUAGUGUUCUGCUGAGUCAAACUCUUCCCAGCACGCCAUCGAGCAAAAUGUCUUUGAGGAUAUGAGGAUUUGAACCUUCUUGUUGAAACAAACCACCAUCUGUCUUAGUUGAGGCGGUCCUGUUGUCUUGAAACAAACACAUGUUAAUGUAUACAUUGAGUGUGUUAUA